rnacentral:rRNA from 1 species
UGGGGAAUAUUGCACAAUGGGCGAAAGCCUGAUGCAGCGACGCCGCGUGCGGGAUGAAGGCCUUCGGGUUGUAAACCGCUUUUGAUUGGGAGCAAGCGAGAGUGAGUGUACCUUUCGAAUAAGCACCGGCUAACUACGUGCCAGCAGCCGCGGUAAUACGUAGGGUGCAAGCGUUAUCCGGAAUUAUUGGGCGUAAAGAGCUCGUAGGCGGUUUGUCGCGUCUGGUGUGAAAGUCCAUCGCUUAACGGUGGAUCUGCGCCGGGUACGGGCAGGCUAGAGUGCGACAGGGGAGACUGGAAUUCCCGGUGUAACGGUGGAAUGUGUAGAUAUCGGGAAGAACACCAAUGGCGAAGGCAGGUCUCUGGGUCGUCACUGACGCUGAGGAGCGAAAAGCGUGGGGAGCGAACAGGAUUAGAUACCCUGGUA